rnacentral:tmRNA from 1 species
GGGGAUGAUAGGCUUCGACGGAAGAGGCUGAUCCCGGAUGGCGAGCCGAGAGGUACCGAACUCGUAAAAUCAGUACAAAUGAAAAGUGCCAAAAGCACUAACUAUGCAGCUCUUCCUUUAGCCGCAUAACGGUUAAAUAGAGCCAAUGGUCUAUAAGUAGGCCACGUCUGCCCAUCCCGACCUCCAGCCGGUGAUGGAGCAGGCGAAAAAAAGCUGGAGUGCCGUACAGCCUGCUGUGAACUGUGCGAAAGAGGGCUUUCGGGUCCAAGCAGCUAGCUGAGGGAAAGGUCUGUUGGUCAACCUUCCCCCCGUGAAAAAUAAGACCAUCUACGCUCGUAGAAGUCUGAUGAUUUAAUCUUUCGGACGCGGGUUCGAUUCCCGCCAUCUCCACUA